AUGCAAGUCGAGCGGUAGAGAGAAGCUUGCUUCUCUUGAGAGCGGCGGACGGGUGAGUAAUGCCUAGGAAUCUGCCUGGUAGUGGGGGAUAACGUUCGGAAACGGACGCUAAUACCGCAUACGUCCUACGGGAGAAAGCAGGGGACCUUCGGGCCUUGCGCUAUCAGAUGAGCCUAGGUCGGAUUAGCUAGUUGGUGAGGUAAUGGCUCACCAAGGCGACGAUCCGUAACUGGUCUGAGAGGAUGAUCAGUCACACUGGAACUGAGACACGGUCCAGACUCCUACGGGAGGCAGCAGUGGGGAAUAUUGGACAAUGGGCGAAAGCCUGAUCCAGCCAUGCCGCGUGUGUGAAGAAGGUCUUCGGAUUGUAAAGCACUUUAAGUUGGGAGGAAGGGCAUUAACCUAAUACGUUAGUGUUUUGACGUUACCGACAGAAUAAGCACCGGCUAACUCUGUGCCAGCAGCCGCGGUAAUACAGAGGGUGCAAGCGUUAAUCGGAAUUACUGGGCGUAAAGCGCGCGUAGGUGGUUCGUUAAGUUGGAUGUGAAAUCCCCGGGCUCAACCUGGGAACUGCAUUCAAAACUGUCGAGCUAGAGUAUGGUAGAGGGUGGUGGAAUUUCCU
rnacentral:rRNA from 1 species